AUACUGGUGUCAGCAGGACAUUAAAAGCUUGAAGCUUUUUACGUUUGAUCAAAUACCAACAUUAUGCUGAAGCAGAAGUAUUAAUUCAUAGAGUAAAGCUUCCAGAACCUCUCCAGCUCUCCUUCAUCCUUCCUCCCCCCACCAAAAAGGUCACAUCAAAUCAGGGGUUCAGGGACAAAACAGAGACGGGCAUUUUGUCAGUGUUUCAUGUACACAAAACCACUCUAGAACCCAAGGGAGAGACAAGCACUAAAAUAUACUUUUCUAAAAAUGCCAAUCCCAUCUAAGAAAGGG
rnacentral:lncRNA from 1 species